rnacentral:rRNA from 1 species
GACGAACGCUGGCGGCGUGCCUAAUACAUGCAAGUCGAGCGAAUCUUGAGGUGCUUGCACCUCUUGAUUAGCGGCGGACGGGUGAGUAACACGUGGGCAACCUGCCUGUAAGACUGGGAUAACUUCGGGAAACCGGAGCUAAUACCGGAUAAUUCUUUCCCUCUCAUGAGGGAAAGCUGAAAGACGGUUUCGGCUGUCACUUACAGAUGGGCCCGCGGCGCAUUAGCUAGUUGGUGAGGUAACGGCUCACCAAGGCGACGAUGCGUAGCCGACCUGAGAGGGUGAUCGGCCACACUGGGACUGAGACACGGCCCAGACUCCUACGGGAGGCAGCAGUAGGGAAUCUUCCGCAAUGGACGAAAGUCUGACGGAGCAACGCCGUGUGAGCGAUGAAGGCCUUCGGGUCGUGAAGCUCUGUUGUUAGGGAAGAACAAGUAUCGGAGUAACUGCCGGUACCUUGACGGUACCUAACCAGAAAGCCACGGCUAACUACGUGCCAGCCGCCGCAGUAAGAC